rnacentral:lncRNA from 1 species
AUCUGUAUUUGAUAAUUGCCAGCAUCAGUAAGCUCCGCGGGAUCCGCACCAACUACCGUGCCGCACUGACAUUCCCAGGAACCUGGCGCCGCCUGAGCUGCUGUGUCUGCUGUGUCCGCUGUGUCCGCUCCACCACCGCUUCCUUCUUCCACCGCUGCUUCCUUCUUCCUCCGCCGCAUCCUUCUUCCUCCGCCGCAUCCUUCUUCCUCCUCCCCCGCUUCCUUCUUCCUCUGUCGCGGCCUUCUCCUCUCCCCGCCCCACCCCCAAACCUCAACAGCUGAGUUGGGGAGGCAGCGUCGAUCUUGCCACAUUUUCUUUAUCCAGUCUAUCAUCGAUGGGCAUUUGUGUGGUUCCAAGUCUUUGCU